ensembl:lncRNA
UUCCAGCCCCGCUCUGCCAGUGUGGCUGGGCCCAUUCCCGCUAACCCAGGACUUUUGAUGAGACACAGGCGACCUCUACAGUGUGCAGCUUCUGACUCCCCGACCCAUGUGGACUUUAACCCGGCUUACAAGAGUCACAGUUCAGAGUUUAAUUCAAAUCAUUUUUGCAGUAUUAAUUAUCUCUAGCUUGUCUGAAUAUUCCCAGUGACGGGAAACUCCUGCUGUCAGCAGUCCUCGCGUUAAAGCAUUGAUUUGCAUUUGGUUCUGUAACCUCUGUCCCAGAACGUUCCAAGCCGUGGACCCAAAUUAGCGCUAAAGGCACACGGAGGCUCCCUGCGUGUCCUCCGCACCACUCGGCAGCGUCGUCGGCCAUGGACAGCGCCGGUGAGCCCGGGUUCCCGCAUUUCAGCAUGCACUGCCUACUCUUACAAUUUUCUCAAAACACUUUAGUUCAACACAGAACUUAAUAUUGAUCGCAUUUCCUGUAUGACUUUACUAUUUGGGUCUGUUUGGGCUGAGGAAUUGGUACUGAGGGACCAAGUUGGUGUCUGCAGCCCACAUCACUGAGCAUGAGAGGAACCGCUAGAUGGCAGCAUCUUGCCUCUGAAUGGGCACAACAACACCUAGAUGGCCAGCUGUCUGAAUCUAGAGAACAGGGUGGAGGACCUCUCCACCCCACCCCCAAAUCAUCUAAUCAGUCCCUGCAUCAGGUAGAAAGCCCUGGUCAGAUCCACCCAGACAGGUCUCUCUCCCACCUACAGUAACUGCUAGAAAAGCGCGCCUCUUCCCAGUUGUAACCUAGUCUAACCUAUCAGGAUCUUGCCCUUUGAAAGUUUGUCCUAAACAACAGUACGUCUUGAUAAUGUGUAUUUUCUUUCUUUCCUUUAUGAAAUUAGAUUUAAUUCAGCAGAAAAUUGUUGGGCACUUUCUGAGUCCAUGAAUACAAAGGCCUUUACCAAUGAAUCACUCUUUAAACCUGGCUUCUUCACCCUCCAUGCUUACCCCUUAGCAUGUGCUCUCCCCUCCU